ACGGAGGGUGCAAACGUUAAUCGGAAUUACUGGGCGUAAAGCGCGCGUAGGCGGUUUGGUCAGUGGGAUGUGAAAGCCCCGGGCUUAACCUGGGAACUGCAUUCCAAACUGCCAGGCUAGAGUUUGGUAGAGGGAGGUGGAAUUUCCUGUGUAGCGGUGAAAUGCGUAGAUAUAGGAAGGAACACCAGUGGCGAAGGCGGACUCCUGGACCAAAACUGACGCUGAGGUGCGAAAGGGUGGGGAGCAAACAGGAUUAGAUACCCUGGUAGUCCACGCCGUAAACUAUGAGAACUAGCCGUUGGAGCCCUUGAGGCUUUGGUGGCGAAGCUAACGCGAUAAGUUCUCCGCCUGGGGAGUACGGCCGCAAGGUUA
rnacentral:rRNA from 1 species